rnacentral:rRNA from 1 species
AUUGAACGCUAGCGGGAUGCUUUACACAUGCAAGUCGAACGGCAGCGCGGACUUCGGUCUGGCGGCGAGUGGCGAACGGGUGAGUAAUGUAUCGGAACGUGCCCAGUAGCGGGGGAUAACUACGCGAAAGCGUAGCUAAUACCGCAUACGCCCUACGGGGGAAAGCAGGGGAUCGUAAGACCUUGCACUAUUGGAGCGGCCGAUAUCGGAUUAGCUAGUUGGUGAGGUAACGGCUCACCAAGGCGACGAUCCGUAGCUGGUUUGAGAGGACGACCAGCCACACUGGAACUGAGACACGGCCCAGACUCCUACGGGAGGCAGCAGUGGGGAAUGUUGGACAAAGGGGGCAACCCUGAUCCAGCCAGCCCGCGUGUGCGAUGAAGGCCUUCGGGUUGUAAAGCACUUUUGGCAGGAAAGAAACGUCGCGGGCUAAUACCCCGUGGAACUGACGGUACCUGCAGAAUAAGCACCGGCUAACUACGUG